UGCUACAUACUCUUAACAAUGAAAAUUACUAUUUUGCCUUUAAGAGUACAUUUCACUUGAAACUUUGCUGAAUUAGAAUUUAGAAUUCUCUAUCCCUUUUCUAUUACAAAUUUUAUCUCAUUAUUAAUCAUUGAAAGACAUCUUGAUCUCAUUCUUCUAAUGUAUCGAGAGUGUCGAACUCAGUAGUGAUGUAUCACGUUAACUUGUAGUACUAAUUAGAUAUUUCCUCAAUGGUUGUGUUAAUCAUCAAAAUAACACUAUCAUCCUC
rnacentral:lncRNA from 1 species